rnacentral:rRNA from 1 species
AACGAAGGCUGGCGGCAUGCCUAACACAUGCAAGUCGAACGAGACCUUCGGGUCUAGUGGCGCACGGGUGCGUAACGCGUGGGAACCUGCCCUUAGGUUCGGAAUAACUCCCCGAAAGGGGUGCUAAUACCGGAUAAUGUCUUCGGACCAAAGAUUUAUCGCCUUUGGAUGGGCCCGCGUUGGAUUAACUAGUUGGUAGGGUAAAAGCCUACCAAGGCGACGAUCCAUAGCUGGUCUGAGAGGAUGAUCAGCCACACUGGGACUGAGACACGGCCCAGACUCCUACGGGAGGCAGCAGUGGGGAAUAUUGGACAAUGGGCGAAAGCCUGAUCCAGCAAUGCCGCGUGAGUGAUGAAGGCCUUAGGGUUGUAAAGCUCUUUUACCCGGGAUGAUAAUGACAGUACCGGGAGAAUAAGCUCCGGCUAACUCCGUG